CAGCAUUCCCUAACCAAAUGCCGAUGUAUACAUACUGUGCACACAUAGCAUUUUUGCUCAACAUAUAUAGUAGCCGCUUCUCCACCGACUUCACCAGGCAGCGAAGGCGCAAUUCAUAGCCUAAGAAGAAUAUUGAUUUUCAAUAUUAUAUGGCGACCGUGACAGGACCAGGAUGUAAGGCCUAAGGACAAAUGGCCUAAGGACUACAAAGGAUUAGGGACUACUAAAAUCACUAUCAAAUCAAAAAUUGUAUUGGACUGGACUGGAGAUACGGAUGGAAAGCAAAUUUCUGAGUGAGUAGAGUGAGGCAAUGAGAAACAAGCGCGGCGGUGUGCGGCAACAGUUAAAAACGAGAAUAGCUCACCUAAAAUGGCUAUUAUAUUCUCAUACGCCACCACCAGCCUGGUCAACUGCUCGCAAACUACAAGCAGAUCUUGAUUUCUUACAAAUAUAAUUAAAAAAAGAGCCAAUAAAAACCCAAAGCCCAACUCUCAUUCAUCAAAACCACAAAUAAUACAAAAAUUAAAUCUGCAACACCACAACCCAGAGCCAGCAUACCAGUUUACAAGGAACAAUGCCCGUUGGAUUGUGAGGCACCAUGGAGCGCCUAUUGCAAGUACACUUGCAAACAUUGUAAGGACAUCAACCAGCAGAAGGAAGGAUGUGCGACAACCAGCACCGGCACCGCUUAUAAUCAAAAAAAAAAAA